GGCGGAGGCCGCUGCCACGGAACCGGGCGGGAGGCGCACAGCCCGCGGGAGCUGGUUUUCCCGGGAGGGCACGUGACGGGGUUGGCAGCACUCGCGCCCAAGCUGGGGGAGGGGGAAGUGGCGAGCAGGAGGCCGGGGGCGGGCGGCUGGCGCGCUGUGUACUUAGGUCGUGUGCUGGGGCUUUUCUCUCCAGGGAGCCGGCCGAGGGGCGGGGGAGGGGCCACCGCUCCGCCUUCUUCUUUUCGCAAUGUUGACGCAAUCUAUAAAUAGUGGAACAAAAGGACCAACUUCCUCGGAGCUUUGCUGAAACUGCACAAAAAAUCGAGCUGGGGGGUUCCCUGGUCCCCGGCGUUGGGGCGGGGAGCGCUGCGCCGAGGGAGGGGGCGGCGCAGACCGGCCUAGGGGACACCUGGCCGAGCGCAGCUGCCACUCCGCUCGAGCCCUGCGCUCCAGUGUCCCCACUGGCUGGAGAGCUCGCCCCGACCGGGGGUCUUCCUCCGCCGCUGACAGACUUAAGGAGACAAAUGCAUUGGAUUAUCCUGAUUCACCAUGUGUGAGAGGCAUCGGAUUUGACAGGAUCUCACAUAGCCAAAACUGGCCUCAAACUCAUGAUAUAGACAAGGCUGAAUGUGAAUUGAUCUUCCUGCCUAUACCACCUGAGUGCUAAGAUUACAGACAGCACCACCACCAUCAAUGUCAGUGUCCAUUUUUCUGCUUCACAUACAACAUUGUAGCACAUACAAUAUAUAUGAUACUAGAAGCACUGUUUUUUUAUUUGAAGUAUAACUAUAUAGAGAAUAUAUAGGUAUAUAAGAAAAGUACAUGCAUGUUAAAUGAAAUAAAAGCUAUAAAUGCUAAGAGUGUGUAAUAUGAAAAUGAAGUAAAAACUAUAAGUAAUUGCUAAGAAUGUGUAAUAUGAAAAUGAAGUAAAGACUAUAAGUAAUUGCUAAGAAUAUAUAAUAUGUAAUAUGAAGUGAUUGAAAAUUGAAAUUACUAAGAUGGAAUUCACUUUCUGGGUAUGCUUCAGUGAUGUAACUUCCUCUAACUAGGGAAGUUACCUGCAUCACAUGGGCCUUCUUAUGAUGCUGAGUCCCAGUUACAGCGCUUUCUAUUACUAGUUGGUGGGGAGGUGGCAGUGGUUUAAAGGUCUUUCUUCCUGUUUAGG
rnacentral:lncRNA from 1 species